UAGGUUCAUCCGCCCAGGGUAAGUCGGGGCCUAAGCCGAGGACGGAAGUCGUAGGCGAUGGACAGCAGGUGUAGAUUCCUGCACUACCGAUGGAAUGAAGCAGUGACACAGAAGGAUAACUCGAGCAGGGUGAUGGUCAACCCUGUGCAAGCAUUGAGGUUGGGUUGUAGUGAAGUACGCAAUCCUAUAAGCUGAGAUGUGAUGCGGACCGAAAUUUCAGUAGGGAAGCGAGUGAGUUCACGCUGGCGAGAAAAGCUGCUAGUACAUCCAAAGGUACCCGUACCGGAAACCGACGCAGGUGGGCGAGGAGAGAAUCCUGAGACGAACGGGAGAACCCUUGUUAAGGAACUCGGCAAAAUGACCCCGUAACUUCGGGAUAAGGGGUGCCUGCGAGAGCAGGCCGCAGAGAAUAGUCACAAGCGACUGUUUAGCAAAAACACAGGUGUCUGCGAAAGCGAGAGCUGACGUAUAGGUGCUGACACCUGCCCGGUGCUGGAAGGUUAAGGGAACAUGUUAGAGCAAUCGAAGCAUCGAACCGAAGCCCCAGUAAACGGCGGCCGUAACAAUAACGGUCCUAAGGUAGCGAAAUUCCUUGUCGGGUAAGUUCCGACCCGCACGAAUGGUGUAACGACUUGUGAGCUGUCUCAACAGGGGGCCCGGUGAAAUUGAAGUAUGGGUGAAGAUGCCCAUUACCCGCGACUGGACGGAAAGACCCCGUAGAGCUUUACUGCAGCCUGAUAUUGAGUUUCGGUAACUGAUGCACAGGAUAGGUGGGAGUCUGAGAGACAUGGGUUUCGGCUCAUGUGGAGACGAUGUUGGGAUACCACUCUUCGGUUACUGAAAUUCUAACAUAGCUCUGUGAAACCAGAGGAUGGACAGUGUCAGGUGGACAGUUUGACUGGGGCGGUCGCCUCCGAAAGAGUAACGGAGGCGCCCAAAGGUACCCUCAGAAUGGAUGGAAACCAUUCGAAGAGCGCAAAGGCAGAAGGGUGCCUGACUGCGAGAUUGACAAAUCGAGCAGAGACGAAAGUCGGGCUUAGUGAUCCGGCGGUAUUGAGUGGAAAAGCCGUCGCUUAACGGAUAAAAGCUACCUCGGGGAUAACAGGCUGAUCUCCCCCAAGAGUCCACAUCGACGGGGAGGUUUGGCACCUCGAUGUCGGCUCGUCGCAUCCUGGGGCUGAAGCAGGUCCCAAGGGUUUGGCUGUUCGCCAAUUAAAGCGGCACGCGAGCUGGGUUCAGAACGUCGUGAGACAGUUCGGUCCCUAUCCAUCGUGGGCGUAGGAGUCAUGGGAGGAGCUGUUCCUAGUACGAGAGGACCGGAAUGGACGCACCACUGGUGCAACUGUUGUCGUGCCAACGGCAUAGCAGGGAAGCGAAGUGCGGAUGGGAUAAACGCUGAAGGCAUCUAAGCGUGAAGCCCACCUCAAGAAUAAGACUCCACAAUAGACCCCUGGAGGACUACCAGGUAGAUAGGUCAUCGGUGGAAGCGCUGUAAGGCGUGUAGCUUGAUGAUACUAAUCGGUCGAAAGCUUCAUGAA
rnacentral:rRNA from 1 species